UACAGAGGUCUCAAGCGUUGUUCGGAAUCACUGGGCGUAAAGGGUGCGUAGGCGGCGGAGUAAGUCGGGUGUGAAAUUUGAGGGCUCAACCUUCAACUUGCACCUGAUACUGCUUCGCUCGAGUCCUGAAGAGGAGCUUGGAAUUCUCGGUGUAGCAGUGAAAUGCGUAGAUUUCGAGAAGAACGCUCGCAGCGAAAGCGAAGCUCUGGUCAGGCACUGACGCUGAGGCACGAAGGCUAGGGGAGCAAACGGG
rnacentral:rRNA from 1 species